GCACACGGUCACCAUGUCAGCACCAAGAGAGACUCCAGGAAGCCUAGAGGACCAGUGAUAAAGACUCCAUGAGGCACAUGGGCCCCUCCUUCAGAAGGAAGCAGAAUAGGUUAGACAGAUGUCUCAGUGGGUAGAGAUACUUGCUGCCAAUCAAGAGUUCGCCACCAGAGCCCACAUGGAACUGAACUAAGACCUGAGUUCAGCUUCUAACAGCCACAUGAAGAGGCUCGCCACCACCUAUAUAUAACUUCAGCUCUGUGGGGGUCUGACACACCCUUCUGGCCUGCACUGGCAUCAGCACACACGGCUUUCCUGAUGUUUGCCUUAACCUGACCUUACUGCACAUAACACAAAGAGGAGGAAGGGCCACCCUGCUCAUCUGUCCAGGGCCGUGGAAACCCAGAGAGCACCGUGGCCUGUGCCUCUUCGGGCUGGAUGUUCACACCACACCACUGAGCAGUGCAGACCAGAGCAGAGUGAGCAGAGUGGAGGCAGUGACCUGGAGGUCACAUUCACUUGCUUCCUGGCAGCCGCCCCAGCUCCAGCUGUGUUGCCUCCCUCCCUCCCUCCCCUUCCUGUCUCUCUCUUCCUUUCCUCCCCCUCAGCCUCCUUCCCACCCUUUUUUUCUUUUGCUGGCUUCUGUUCUUUCUUUCCAUGAGCAGAGAGUUUCCAGGCUUGGCCCACAGCCAGCACAUGUGGACAAAAGACUUAGAGGGAGACGUCACCUUCCAUGCUGUCCACAGGGCCGGCACAGCCUCGUUAGUAAGGCUGCUCCCCUGGCUGCUCCCAAGGUUCUGGGAAAGGGGUGCUUUUAAUCCCUUCGAUUAAAAGCAGAGGAUCUGGAUGGUUCUGGACCCCAGGCUCUGAUUCCAAUGAACCUGAGAGCUGCAGGCCUUCUGGCAAGUUCUUCCCUAUGCCCCAGGCCUCUUGGUUUUACCAGCAAGUUUGCAAGACCUUGGAAAGGAUGACGUGAGGCUGCACCUGUGGGACACUCUGGCACAUUCUGGGAGAAGUGCUCAACAAAUGUCUGCUGAGAUUUUUUAAAGUGAGCCUCACCCUGGCAAGUGAUACUAGCAUUGAUGAUGCAGGGUCCUGAAUUGAUAAGGACUGUGCACUCGACUCAUUUAGGGGGCUGAUUGUUCCCAAGUUCUCUGAAACCUAAAAUACUCUCUCACACCAGGCUGGGGGUGUAGUUCAAUGCUAGAGGGAGGACUUCCCUAACACUAACAAUGCCCUAGGAUAAAUCCCCAGCGCUAUAACACCCACCCUCCACCCUCACGCUCACACACCCACCAGCAAACUCUCAAGCAAAUGACCGAAGCGGCAACGUGAUCUGAGAACGUUUCGGUUAUUCCAAGAGCUGAGCCCCUUUCUUCUGCAGGAGAAGCAAGACACCCAGGACACGCUGACCCUCAGCCUCUGUUCGCCAGGGGUCACCGAGCCUGCUGUCUGUCCUGACCUCCCCAGCCAGAGCUAUUUUUCAGUUUCUUGUGGGCUAAGGCCCGGAUCUGUCUGUUUACUAUCUUAGCCUGGUGUUUUUGUACUCAAAAGUUUCGUAACGCCUGCGAGUAUGUUCUUCUUCACUGGCUAAAUUCUGAGAUAUGAAAAAUGGUCUUUCACCUACAAUUUAGUUAAUCUGAGGCAGCAUGAAUGGAUUUGAAAUUGACCAAUAAACUCAGUCACCAAGCAGAA